GACGAACGCUGGCGGCGUGCCUAAUACAUGCAAGUAGAACGCACAGUUUAUACCGUAGCUUGCUACACCAUAGACUGUGAGUUGCGAACGGGUGAGUAACGCGUAGGUAACCUGCCUGGUAGCUGGGGAUAACUAUUGGAAACGAUAGCUAAUACCGCAUAAUAUUAAUUAUUGCAUGAUAAUUAAUUGAAAGGUGCAAUUGCACCACUACCAGAUGGACCUGCGUUGUAUUAGCUAGUAGGUGAGGUAACGGCGCACCUAGGCGACGAUACAUAGCCGACCUGAGAGGGCGAGUGGCCACCCUGGGACUGAGACCCGGCCCAGACUCCCACGGGAGGCAGCAGUAGGGAAUCUUCGGCAAUAGACGAAAGUCUGACCGAGCAACGCCGCGUGAGUGAAGAAGGUUUUCGGAUCGUAAAGCUCUGUUGUAAGAGAAGAACGGGUGUGAGAGUGGAAAGUUCACACUGUGACGGUAUCUUACCAGAAAGGAACGGCUAACUACGUG
rnacentral:rRNA from 1 species